UAUGUGACUAACUUAGCCAAACAUACCUUUUUACCCUCCUUCUGAAGCUCAGAAGCCCGAAGAUACAGCUCACCUCGAACAGCAUACUGACAUUUCUUAACAUUUUCAUUCAAAUUCUCGUAAUCCAGUGGCCUCGACAUGUUGAAGUGUAUAUUUCACUUAAAUCUAGACUUGAUGCAAACAACUACUCACGUAACUGGCGAGAUGUCUUGCAAGAACCAAUUAACUCGGACCCCCCCACCUGAGAAUAAAAUUAGUGAAAGGCUGGAUAACUAAAAAGUAACAAAAUCAGAAAAAGAAACGCCUAACUUCAUAAUUUCCCCCUAAACUCCAAGAUUACCCAAUAGCAGAAUUUUUAGAGAAACCAGGAUCAAUAAGAGUCAAUAUAUAAUUCGCAAAAUAAUUGAUUGAUCAACAUUUCAAAUGUAACGUUAAAAGAUAAUACUGGGGUUGGUACAGCCGUCUCAUGUGGUCCCAUAACAAUUCAAACAGAAGUCUUACUUUACUUCUGAACCCAGAAAAAC
rnacentral:lncRNA from 1 species